AAUGUUUUUAACAUAUUGCGUCGAAAUCUAGUUAAGCAAGGAUGGCUACAAAACCUGUGUUGAUCUGUUUAUGCCUUUUUCUCAUUUUACUGUUGCAUUUUGCUCUCUCUCAGGAAACGGGAAUAUGUACAUCAGGGUUUGAUUACGAUUAUAAAAUACUUAAAAAGCUUCACGACUUAGAGGUGGAAAUUGAAGCCGUCAAAAAAACAUUACAUGACAGAGUCGCAUUUAUGGCAGAACUAUCCCACGAUUUGACGUCAUUCACCAAAGGAGCAACGGUAGUUUUUGACCACACCAUUCUCAACAACGGCAGUCGUUACAACCCUAGCAACGGCGUUUUUCUUGCAAAAGCUCCUGGUCUCUACGUAUUCCAACAAUGCCAACAAUUUAACCGUUUCAAAAGUUCAUGUUUUUAAGUUUUGAGGAGCAAUCUUUUUCGGGAGUUAAACACACAUUCUGUUGCCUGUUUAGGAUUUACCUUCACGUCAUGAAGAACAAUGAACAGGUGAAUUACCUAUUUCUAGAGAACAACGUAGAUUUCCAUCACCAUCGUUCCGUCCCGACUGUACUUGAGAUCGCCGCAGGGGAUCAAGUCAAGGUCAUCGUCCAUGGAAGUGGUGGAACCCCUACUCUUUUGGGAUGUUGUUUCCAUACACACUUUAGUGGAUAUUCGCUAAAUCUCGCAUAAACAGGUUAUGCUCAUUCGAAGCCACUGGCAGGCGAAAUUCACUUAUAUGGGAAUUCUUUUCGCGUUGACCGGCAUUGAAACUCUGCGCAUAUCAAGUAUUCUUUGAGAACUUAUAUUAUAAAAAAAAUAAAAUAUUUUGAACAGGUUUGAGAAUACGUAACAGUAAGGUGAUGCAUGACUGAACAGCGGAUAUGGAAUAUACGCGGGAAAUAACUUUCUCAACUUUAACUUUCGAAGGCAUUUUAUAACUAUCCACAUUAUACCUUGUCGAUUGUAAUUAAAACAGUGCUUUAAUUUGAUAAUUUGAUUGUCAUUCAACCGGAAUUUGGCAUUAAUGUUUGCAUUGAUUUAUUAAAAACCCAUAAAUGGUG